rnacentral:rRNA from 1 species
AUUGAACGCUGGCGGCAGGCCUAACACAUGCAAGUCGAACGCGUGGCGGACGGGUGAGUAAUGUCUGGGAAACUGCCCGAUGGAGGGGGAUCACUACUGGAAACGGUAUCUAAUACCGCAUACCAUCGGAUGUGCCCAGAUGGGAUUAGCUAGUAGGGGGGGUAACGGCUCACCUAGGCGACGAUCCCUAGCUGGUCUGAGAGGAUGACCAGCCACACGGGAACUGAGACACGGUCCAGACUCCUACGGGAGGCAGCAGUGGGGAAUAUUGCACAAUGGGCGCAAGCCUGAGGCAGCCAUGCCGCGUGUAUGAAGAAGGCCUUCGGGUUGUAAAGUACUUUCAGCGAGGAGGCGUUACCCGCAGAAGAAGCACCGGCUAACUCCGUGCCAGCAGCCGCGGUAAUAC